UCUGUGGCCACCCUGUGUUCCCCUGUAACCAUGACUUAUCUAUAGUCCUUCUGCUAGAAAUGUUCACUCUCCAUCUCCACAUGUGGAGAUUUAAAGGAUCUGUGGUGCCUUUAAAGGCUUCCUGGACAUGAUGGUCCCUUCUCAACACAUAGCAAAAGCAGAAUGACCAGUCAUUGGGAAAUACAACUGAAAACCCAAUUUGGAGAUGUAUGUCUCUAGUUUGACAACAUCAUCUACAGCUGAUGACCUGCUGUUCCGAGGGCAGGGUAGCUCUCCCUUUCAAAAUGUACCCCACUGUUUGGCUGCCUCUAUGGAGGUCAGGAAAAGAAAGUCGCUGGAACACACAGUGGACAGGAGCAAGUAUCAAAGUAUAGAGCCUUCAAAAGUGCUCUGGAUUCCAUUACAAAGAAAAUCAUGAAUAAUGCAUCCCCACCUCCUGCUUUUAUUUAAUCUCAAUCAGUGAGAGCUAGAAGUGCAUUACUGUGUCCAGCUGCAUCCCUGGCUCCGGAGGCUGGAACCUGGGGCUGAGGGACCCACAAGCCCCACAGGUGCUGUGCACCGCAGAGCCAGUUAACCAGCAAUCCUGCUCAAGCCCCGGGAGACUGUAGCACCAAGGGCUCAACCCUUCCGGAUGUCUGGCUUGCCAUGGAUGGUUCCUAUACCUAGGGAGCUGCAGAACCUACUUUGAAACUGACACAGCCUGUGUAUCCCGGGGUUACAUCUCCCUUUCUCUGUUUUAAUAAAGCUGUAUUCCUAAUAAAAGGAACAAACAGCCUAUCCCACAUGCUGAAAGAUCAUGACGAGAAGUCUGCCCAGUCUGUUAUGAUUCGAUGUCCCAUAAGCUAAGUCCCUCUGCACUCGUGCACAUUGAGCACGAAAUAUAGGCAAAUUGUUAUUUCUGUCCAUCAAGAGCAAAUUAUGAUGAUAGCUGGCUUUUGAAUGUUAGAAACUAUAGUGUUUUUCAUUUCUGGGAGCACAUCUUGUGUGUCACUAUGUGCUAUGCCUUUAUGUUAAAUAACAUGUUUAUGCUGGGAUACAAAACAGUACGAUGGCCACAUAAAAAAGACUUCAUAAGGUACAUACAUAUGUCAUAUAUCAACAUAUUUUAAUUAGUGUAAGUUCAACAUAUAGAAAAAACAGCUACUCUUGGCUGGAUGUGGUGACUGACUCCUGUAAUCCCAGCACUUCAGGAGGCCAAGGCGGGUGGAUCGCUUGAGCGUAGGGGUUCGAGACCAGCCUGGGCAACAUGACGAAACCCCCUCUCUAUAAAAACAAUUAGCCAGGUGUGGUGGUACACGCUUGUAGUCCCAGCCACUCUGGAAGCUGAAGAGAAAGGAUCAUUUAAGCCCAGAAGGUCAAGGCUGCAGUGAGCCAAGAUCACACCACUGCACUCCAGCCUGGGCCCCAGAGUGAGACCCUGUCUCAAAAUUAAAUAAUUAAUAAAUAAAAUAAACAAAAAGAAACAGCUACUUUUUGUAAUUUGGAAUCAGAAGUUUUAUAUAAGAUAACACUUUUGAAAUAAUCAGGAAUGUAAAUUUAUGUAAAUUUAGCUGGGACUCUGUGUUAACAUCUUUUUCGUUGUGCCUAUUUUUCAUGUUUUGCCAUGCUAACAUUUGCUAUGUGCCCACACACACACGUGCAAUUCUUUUCUACUCUAUUAGCCUCUGGUUCUGUAUGUUUCCAUCAUUAACUGAAGCAUUUGCAGAACGAAAUGGAGGUUUAGCACUUUGAGAGUUGUUUUAUUUUUACAACCUUGGCAAAGCAAGUGUCAUUGAUUAAAUGUCUG
rnacentral:lncRNA from 1 species